rnacentral:rRNA from 1 species
UACGUAGGGACCGAGCGUUGUCCGGAAUCAUUGGGCGUAAAGAGCGUGUAGGCGGCUAUUUAAGUCCUGCGUGAAAUCCUGCGGCUCAACCGCAGACGGUCGUGGGAAACUGGAUGGCUAGAGUGCGGGAGAGGAGAGUGGAAUUCCCGGUGUAGCGGUGAAAUGCGCAGAUAUCGGGAAGAACACCCGUGGCGAUGGCGGCUCUCUGGAACGCAACUGACGCUGAGACGCGAAAGCGUGGGGAGCAAACAGG